AAAUGAUCUUAAUGAACUUGUACUUAAUUAGCUCAUUAUUAAUUACUUAAUAUAUUUAAUUUUUAAACCCUAAACUCUAAACUCUUAUCCCUAAACCCUAAACCCUAAACUCUUAGCCCUAAACCUCAAACUUAUUUAUUCCAUUUUAGUGUGAAUACGAUAUUAAGCUAGAAAACAUCCUCAGUGAACUUGUAGGUAGCAUAUUUAUUUAGUGUGAAUAUUCCAGUAAAGAAAGGUUUAUAGUGAACUUUACUAGCUCAUUGUCAGCUACUUAGUACUUAUUUGUUUAGUGAUCAUUACGUACUAGCUCAUCACUAACUGCUUAUAACUUAUGUUUAUCACUUUAAAUCUCAAUAUGAGUAAUGACUUCUAUUUGAAUGUGAACUUCAAUGUGUAUAAUGACUUAUAUUUCAAUAUGAAUAUGCCAUUAGGGAAAGGUUUCAAGUGAAAAUUACUACCUUAUUAUCCGCUACUUAUAACUUAAUUGUUACUAUAAGACAUGUUUAGGACUUUAAAUUUCAAUGUGAACGGCGACUUCAAAUUUUAAUGUAAAUAAUGUCUUCUAUUUCAAUGUGAAGUUCAAUGUGAACAUGCUAUUUGGGAAGGGUUCCAAGUGAACAUUAUUACACUACCAGGACAAGCACUUUAGCCGACGAAAAUUUUUCGUCGGCCUGUCAGCUUAAUUCGUCGGCUAAGAUCGUCGGCUAAGAUUUCGUCGGGAAAAGCUCGUCUGUGGUGACUUUAGCCGACGACACACGUAUAAAUCGUCGGCUAUAGUCCAGACUUUAGCCGACGAAAUAAUGUGUCGUCGGCUAAAGUCUGGAUUAUAGCCGACGACAUUUUUGUCGUCGGUUAUCUGCCAAACUUUAGCCGACGAAUAUUUUAAAAUAUUCAUCGGUUAAAGUUUGUAAUAAGAAAAUAAAAAAGAUCUAUGGCCGACGAAAUAUAGUAUAUUUCGUCGGCUUUAUAGGUAUUUAGCCGACGAAUUAGAGCAUAUUUCGUCGGCUAAAANNNNNNNNNNNNNNNNNNNNCUUAAAUUCGUCGGCUAUACACCAAUUCGUCGGACUAAAGUCUUAUAAAUUCGUCGGCUAAAACUUUGAAAUUCGUCGGCUAAAGUCUUAAAUUUCGUCGGCUAAAACUUUGAAAUUCGUCGGCUAAACCUUUGAAAUUCGUCGGCUAAAAGUAUUUGUAUACAUUUGGCAUGUUGUGAUUGUGAUGAUCAAACUUGAGAAACAGAAAUCCGACCGUCAGAUCUGACCAUCAUGAUAAAAUACAUGUGUGGGAAAAAAUUCAACUUGAUCCGAAAAGAAUAAGGGCUCGAUCCGGACGGUCAAUCUCGUAAGUCAAACCCCUAAACGCACGGAAAAGGUCGUUCGACCGUCUAAAUUACGUAUUUUGGCCGGACCUCCAACUGAAAAUAGUUUUAAACCGAUGACACGCAACAAGUCGUAUAAAAAUUUUACGCAAAAUAACCACCGAAUAUAGGGCUACUCAUAGGGGGAAAAAAUGAAAAAUUGCAUUGACCGCAACUAUCGACACCGAAUAUUUACCGGAAUAGUGUGAUUUUUCAACCGUGGAUGUAUUUCAACAUUCUCGUCAUAUCUUAUUUCAUGACUUUUUGCCGUUUGAAGGUUUUACGUAUAGUUUGUUUUUGAAACGGAACAUUUACAUAACACUAGGUAAACAAGUUAUACAACAUUAGUAUGCCUGUUGUGAUUGUGAUGAUCAAACUUGAGAAACAGUCAUCCGACCGUCAGAUCUGACCAUCAUGAUAAAAUACAUCUAUGGGAAAAAAUUCAACUUGAUCCGAAAAGAAUAAGGGCUCGAUCCGGACGGUCAAUCUCGUAAGUCAAACCCCUAAACGCACGGAAAAGGUCGUUCGACCGUCUAAAUUACGUAUUUUGGCCGGACCUCCAACUGAAAAUAGUUUUAAACCGAUGACACGCAACAAGUCGUAUAAAAAUUUUACGCAAAAUAACCACCGAAUAUAGGGCUACUCAUAGAUGGAAAAAAUGAAAAAUUGCAUUGACCGCAACUAUCGGCACCGAAUAUUUACCGGAAUAGUGUGANNNNN
rnacentral:lncRNA from 1 species